UCUGAAUACAACUUGAAGUUGUAUUCCGAAAUACCAAAAACUCAAAAAUCUUGUUUUUCAAAUUUUUUUCACUUUUUUCACUUUUUUACAACUACAUUUCACGAAAAACUACAAUUUCAAAAACUAUGGCCAAACACAACUCAAACUCCAAAAUUCCAAAAAAAAAGUGUUUUUUUUUUUUUUGGUAUCUGUUACACCUCAGAAGAAAAAAAAAUUGAGUCCAUGAAAUAAUUCUGCGGAUGAACAGUAACACGGCGAACAGUAGAUGCGGAUGAACAGUAACACGGGAACAGUAGACGCGGAUGAACAGUACUCGGUGAACAGUAAAAAUCUGGAAAGUAAAAACCGAAAAAUCUGAUUUUUUUUCUUCAUUUUUACCUCUCUCUCUCACCCUAAACUCUCUCUAAACCCUCCCAAACCCUCCUAAAAUCUCUCUAAAUUUUUCAAGUUGAAGUCCUCCAAAUCAAACCAAGAUUUCAUCUUAGGAAUUGGAAACUAGUUAAGAAAGGAUUAUAGUAUUUGGUGCUUGAUGUGUGGUUGAUUAUUGAAGCUUGGAGCUAGGAUUUUAGUUGAGUAUUCUGGGCAAUAAGGUAACGACGUGACAUUGGGGGAGGUCAAGUGAACGAUAAACGACAAAGGUAGACAGGGAGGUGAGCUUGGUCCAGACCCUUAAUAGCUGUCAGCUGAUUGAGAGCACUCCAUUGUCCGGAGGUGCUUAUGAUUCUUCUUUUGGUAUAUAUGCAUAUUUUGGGCACGACGGAGUCUUGUUCCGUUUUUAUGUUUAGUAUGUCAGUAGAGGCUCGUAGAUACGCAGUGUGGGUCAGAUGGUCUCACAAGAUGUUAUUAUUAUAUAUAUAUUAUUUUGAUGACUGAGAGGCAAAUGUAUAUAAGUAUUUAUGUUUCUAUAUAAAAUAUGA